GACGAAGGAUGCAAGCGUUAUCCGGAUUCAUUGGGUUUAAAGGGAGCGUAGGCGGCCUUAUAAGUCAGUGGUGAGAUCUCCUCGCUUAACGAGGAAAUUGCCAUUGAUACUGUAGGGCUUGAGUACAGUUGCCGUUGGCGGAAUAUGACAUGUAGUGGUGAAAUACAUAGAGAUGUCAUAGAACACCGAUUGCGAAGGCAGCUAACGAAGCUGUAACUGACGCUGAGGCUCGAAAGUGCGGGGAUCAAACAGG
rnacentral:rRNA from 1 species